rnacentral:tRNA from 1 species
AAGGAAGUACCCCAGCCGCAAGGCGCCUCGACGGCCGGGGCCGCCUCCGCGAACCGGGUGCGCGGGUUCGAAUCCCGCCUCUCC